AGCAAGAUUAAUCAAAUUCAAAAAAAACCUCAAAGAAAUUUCAAACAAAUAAUAAGAAUUCUUAAAGAAAUAUUAGAAAGAUCACAAAUAUCACUCAAAUACAUCUCAAUUCAAUCUUAAUUUAAUUCUAAUUAAAAUCCUAUUAAACUUCAUUUAAACUUUAGGCCAAAACUAAUUAGAUCUUAAAUCCUAAUAAAAUCCUAAAUCCUAAAUCAAACCCUAAACAAACCUUAAACCAAAUCCCAACCAAAUUCUAAAUCAAAACCUAAUCAAAUCCUAAACCCUAAAUUAAACCCUAACCAAACCUUAAAUCCUAAACCAAAUCCUAAUCAAAUCCAAAAUUCUAAAUCAAAUCCUUAUCAAAAUCCUAAAUCUUAAAUAAAUUCUAAACUCUAAACCCUAAAUUAAACCCUAAAUCCUAAAUCAAAUCCUAAUCCAAAUCCUAAAUCCUAAACCAAAUCCUAAUCCAAAUCCUAAAUCCUAAACCAAAUCUUAACCAAACCCUAAACCAAACCCUAGUAAUUCCUAUAACAGAUUUAAACCUCAAUAACUAAUGAAUUAACCAUUGAUCUUAACUCAAAUUAUGCGCACUUCUAAAAAAAUAAGUUAAAAACAAGAAAAAAAAAUUUGAUAAGGAUCGGAGUUACAAAAUUGACGAUAACCUCAAAAAUGUGCUCGCAUAUUGGCCGAUCUCCUUCUCUAAUCUUAAUGCCAAUCUUUCAAAGCCAAUAUCUCUCCUUUGCAUCAUU
rnacentral:lncRNA from 1 species